rnacentral:tRNA from 1 species
GGAGGAGUGCCGGAGUGGAUGAACGGGCUCGUCUCGAAAACGAGUAUCAUUGUAAAAUGAUCGUGAGUUCGAAUCUCACCUCCUCCG